GUGAAUCAUCGAAUCUUUGAACGCAAAUUGCACUCUCUUCGGAGAGUAUGCCUGUUUGAGGGUCAGUAUUAAUAAAAAUCGGUGUGUUGCUUCGUUGUGACGCUCCGGAGUGUGGGCCAAAUUAAAAUCUGUGAGUUUUUAUUAGAGUGAAACUUGCCUUUUUUUGCGAAUUUAGUAUUGACGUAAAU
rnacentral:misc_RNA from 1 species